CGCAAGGCGCACGUCCGCGGUGCUCGACUGCCAUCAGGUUAUCGAGUGAAACGGGAAGCCGGUGCGAACAAGGGACCUCCUUGUUCAAUUCCGGCGCUGCCCCCGCAACGGUAAGGAAGUGCGGUGUCAUCACAGGCCACUGGGAUUCCCCCGGGAAGGCGAUGACGCAAGACUUCCGAGCCCGGAGACCGGCCACGGACAACGUACGCAAA
rnacentral:ncRNA from 1 species